UACGAAGGGGGGCUAGCGUUGCUCGGAAUCACUGGGCGUAAAGGGCGCGUAGGCGGCCGAUUAAGUCGGGGGGUGAAAGCCUGUGGCUCAACCACAGAAUUGCCUCGAUACUGGUUGGCUUGAGACCGGAAGAGGACAGCGGAACUGCGAGUGUAGAGGUGAAAUUCGUAGAUAUUCGCAAGAACACCAGUGGCGAAGGCGGCUGUCUGGUCCGGUUCUGACGCUGAGGCGCGAAAGCGUGGGGAGCAAACAGG
rnacentral:rRNA from 1 species